AGGACGAACGCUGGCGGCGUGCUUAACACAUGCAAGUCGAGCGGAAAGGCCCUUCGGGGUACUCGAGCGGCGAACGGGUGAGUAACACGUGAGCAACCUGCCCUUAGCUCCGGGAUAGCUCCGGGAAACCGGAAUUAAAUACCGGAUAUGACCUAGGCCGACAUCGGCUGUGGUGGAAAGUUUUUCGGCUAGGGAUGAACUCGCGGCCUAUCAGCUUGUUGGUGAGGUAACGGCUCACCAAAGGCGACGACGGGUA
rnacentral:rRNA from 1 species